rnacentral:lncRNA from 12 species
CUAAAUUCUGGUGCCCUUGUGCAGGGGCAAACAGAGGGGAAAUGUGGGGCUGGUGGUGAGAGGAGGUGAUGGGAGCAGCUGGACACCAGACAGCACCCCAGCACAGGUGACACCCAGCACAGGUGACACCCAGCACAGGUGGCACCCUGCCUGCACAGGCAGUGUGUUCUGCAGCCCCAGGGUCUGGUGCGCUGGCUCAGGCAUUCUG